rnacentral:lncRNA from 1 species
AUGCAUGUGUGGGGGUAUGUGUAGACCAGAGACCAAUGCAGGGUGCCCUUCUCCAUCAUUCUCCCUCAUCCUUUUUCAGACUAGUAUGAAGCGAGAGCUCAUCAAUUUGACUAGUCUGACUUGCCAGUGAGUCUGGGGAUCUGUUUGUCUCCACCUCUGCAGAACUGGGAUUUGGAGGACUUAUCUCCAUUCUCAGUUUUCAUGCUCAUGCUAGGAACCCAAACAUAGGUCUUAAUGUGGGUGUGUCAAGUAACUGAGCCAUCUCCACAGCUAUGAAAAGUGGCCAGAGCUGGGGUGCAUUUCUUCUAGAGCCAGGAGAGAACACGUACUUAACAUGCAUACAGCCUUGAGAUCAAUGAACAAAACCAUCCCUAAACUAAACCAAACCAAACCAAACCAAACCCAAAACAUUAAAGAGCUAUUCUUUAUACAAGCAGUGAAUGCAUGAAAUGAUUCAGACUUCAGUCUUUUGAUUUCUUGAAAUAUCUAGUGGAUUUGUAUAGACAGAAUGUUCUGGUUUGAAGGAGAAAGGAUCCCAGAGGAUCCCAUGUUUGAGUACUUGGUCUACAGUUGGUAUAAUAGGUUGAGAGGAAUUAAGAGGUAUGUUACUUGUUGUUGGGGGACUUUGAUGUUUCAAAAGCCCACCCCCUUCCCACUUAGCUCUCCCUGACUCAUGCUUGUGGAUCAAGAGGAGAGUUCACAUCUGCUGCUCCAACACUAUGAUUGACUGCCUGCAGUCAUGCACACAAACAUGACAGUCAUGUAGUCUAACCCUCUUAAAUUGUGAGUCCCCAAUAAAAUUUUCUUUUAUAAAUUCCCUUGGUCAAGGUGUCUUAUCACAGUAAUAAAAAUAGAUAGCAAUAGCAGAGUAUAUCAUUACUAAGCUUGCAAGUAUAAUGCAAAUAUUGGCAAUGUCUUUGAAUGAAUUUCUUCUCAAAGAUGACAUGAAUUUAGAAGUGUUUGUGCUCUUUGCAUGAGUUCAUCUUACUAGAGACACUAUCUGUCCUGGUGUGUUUACUUAUCAAAUGCUUUACCGGACCACACACUCUGGAAACACAGAGCUAUAGUUCUGUCCAUCUUUUAUACAUGGUAAGUAUGCGAUAAGGAUUCUCUCUGUUUCUGUUUGUGUGUAUAUCACCAUGUAUGUAUAUAUGGAGAGCAGAGAUCUAUGUCAUAUGUAUUACUUUGUCACUCUGUUAACCCACAUUUUAUUGAGAAAAGAUCUCUCACUAAAUCUGGAGCUCAGGGACUUGACAAGAAUAACUGCUUAGCAAGCCCAAGAGAUUUUCCUGUCUCUUGAUUUCCUGAUACUCAAAUGGUAAGUGCAGAAUACCAUCACUCUAUCAUCAGGUGUGUGUUGGAGAUCCAAAUUCAGAUCUUUAUGUUUGUACAGCAAGCAUUUUGCUGUUUGAGCCAUCUCCCAUUUUCUUCAUUAAGUCUUUUUGAAUCAAUGCAUAAAAUGUAUAACUUAUUAAGUAUGUACUAAAAUGUAUUCUUGGUACCCAGUACCUUUUUCUAUCAAUUUCUUUCCUGAGAUUUGGUGAUAUUUGAGACUAAAAUUGUUUAUCUACAAAUACAGUUCACUGGCAUAAAACAGAAAAAAGUCUUUUCUACAACAUCAAGAGAUGUCUGUUAUGAUAUAAAAAAUAAACAACAACUCCUUUCCCCCUAAUAGAGUCUGCCAUCUUCAUUAACCCCCUGCCUCAUCUGAGAAAUGGCUUCAGUAAGGGGUUAGAAAGUCUACGAAAAUGAUUUCUGUUAUGACAAAUUUUCAAAUACUCUCCCCAGAGCUUGAAAACUUGUAACAGAGAGAAGGAAAGUCAUGUGAGGAGCAGGUUGUACCUUACAUUCUCUUGUGGUACUGUAAGCCAUCUUUCUCCCAGGAACCCUUUCUAGAAUACAUUUGGGUACAAAGACAGAAUAGAGUUACAUUUGAAAAAUCUAUAGUAAAGAGUCAACUACUACACUGGAAAAACCAGAGACUAAAGUCAUGCUUUCCUGGUAGGCAGUUUACAUAUGUACUCUGAAAUAUACUUCCAUUUUAAAUAUUAUUUUCAUCUUUUGCUCUGAAAUAAUUUUAGAUUUACUGAAAAACUGUAGACCGUAUUAGGUUCCUUUAUCAUGUUUACCCAGUUUCCUAAUGUUAAAAUAUUGCAUAGCCAUAAUACUUUCAUUGAAACUUAAAAGAAUAACAUUUAUGCAUGGUCUUUAGCUAUAGAGUUUAUUCAGAUUUUACAGUCUUUGAUCCAGGAUAGUGUACUUUACACAGUGUUUCUUUCCUUUAAUGUUCUCCAAUCUAUAGCUGUCCAGAACACAUUGGAAAAGGCAGAUAAUAUCUUUCUGUGUACUGACCCUGAGCUUCCAAUAUAGCCCAGCCUAGCCUCUGUCCAUAAUUCUGCUUCAGCUUCUGAAAUAACAUGUGUAUUUCACAAUGCCUGUACAUAAAUAUUUUUUAAUUGAUGGUACUAUUUAAGGGAUGAGGAUCCAUUUCAGAAGUAGAGAUUUCACAUAAUAUCCAUCCCCAGCAUGGCCAGCGAAUAAAUAAAGAAAAAGUCCAUGCUUACUGACAGGAGCCUGAUAGAGCUGUCUCCUGAGAGGCUCUGCCAGAUCCUGACCAAUACUGAUGCGGAUGCUCCCAGCCAACCAUCGGACUGAGCACAGGAACCCCAAUGGAGGAGUUAGGAGAAGACUGAAGGAGCUGAAGGGGCCUUAUCUGCCAUCAACGUGAGGAGAAUGCCUUGGUCCUAUGAAGGCUUGAUGCCCCAGUGUAGAGGAAUACUAGGGUGGUGAGGUAGGAGUGGUUAGGUGGGUUGGGGAGCACCUUCAUAGAAGCAGGGUAAGGGGGGGGUAUAGGAUAGAGGAUUUGCAGAGGGGAAAUUUAGAAAAGGGAUAACAUUUGAAAUGUAAGUAAAUAAAAUAUCCAUUUUUUUUUAAAGAAUGGUCAAUUGGGAAAGAGUUGGAAGAUGUGAAUAGAUAUAUUCAAAACUCAUUAAAAAAAG